rnacentral:rRNA from 1 species
AGUGAACGCUGGCGGUAGGCCUAACACAUGCAAGUCGAACGGCAGCACAGUAAGAGCUUGCUCUUACGGGUGGCGAGUGGCGGACGGGUGAGGAAUACAUCGGAAUCUACUUUUUCGUGGGGGAUAACGUAGGGAAACUUACGCUAAUACCGCAUACGACCUACGGGUGAAAGCAGGGGAUCUUCGGACCUUGCGCGAUUGAAUGAGCCGAUGUCGGAUUAGCUAGUUGGCGGGGUAAAGGCCCACCAAGGCGACGAUCCGUAGCUGGUCUGAGAGGAUGAUCAGCCACACUGGCACUGAGACACGGUCCAGACUCCGACGGGAGGCAGCAGUGGGGAAUAUUGGACAAUGGGCGCAAGCCUGAUCCAGCCAUACCGCGUGGGUGAAGAAGGCCUUCGGGUUGUAAAGCCCUUUUGUUGGGAAAGAAAAGCAGCAGGUUAAUACCCCGCUGUUCUGACGGUACCCAAAGAAUAAGCACCGGCUAACUUCGUG